rnacentral:rRNA from 1 species
AGGGCAGCCAAGUCGUGAGGCGGAGCUAAUCCCUUAAAGCCAUUCUCAGUUCGGAUUGUAGGCUGAAACUCGCCUACAUGAAGCUGGAGUUACUAGUAAUCGCAGAUCAGAAUGCUGCGGUGAAUGCGUUCCCGGGUCUUGUACACACCGCCCGUCACACCAUGGGAGUCGGUAACACCCGAAGCCUGUAGUCUAACCGCAAGGGGGACGCAGUCGAAGGUGGGAUUGAUGACUGGGGUGAAGUCGUAACAAGGUAAC